CAGAGCAUAGUUUAUGAAAAUAUUAAUUUUGGAGAUUGAUGAAGAGGUGGAAUUUACCUUUGCUUUGA
rnacentral:tRNA from 1 species